rnacentral:lncRNA from 1 species
CUUCCCAUCUCUGCGCAGAAGGAAUUCAGCGAGAGGCAAAGUGAUAGGCAAGAAAUAGAGUUACUAGGACAGGACGCUUGUGAGAGAUGCAAGCAGGCAGGCAAGGAAGCUCGGCCCCAAGGAUCCAGUGGGCUCCAGUUUUUAUCCUCCAAGGGGAGUGGGGGCUGGAAAAGACCGCCUCCUCCUUUCUGGGAGUACUAGCUCCUCCUCGGUAUCCACAAAGAUCUGUUCUCAAAUCCGCAGAAGGGUGGUCCUCAAACUCUUGCCCUUGGUCUGAAUAUGAAUGCAGCCCUCCGCUCAUCCCCCACCCAAUAAUCUGAGGCAAUUCUCAUGCCUCCUCUAGUCAAGCAAGGCUGCCUUGUGCUGAUGGCUUUUUUGAGCAAUUUAUUAACUUAUGGUGAGCUCCCAAUGUCCCCUAAGUUUCCCUCAUUAUCUGUGGUCCUUUAUUGGGACUUUUAAAACUCCAACUCUAUCAGUUGGACUUUAUACUUCUACAAGGCAUUUGUCAAACUCUGCUCCCUAAGGUUAUUGACUCCCAGGUACAUCCUGUUCUCUGCAAAAGAGCUGCAAUUACCUGCAAACAGACCUCAAAAUAUAAUUGCAUGUGACGGAAGUUAGAAGCAAGGAUAAUAGGCGGGGAGGGAUGGUAUCAGAAAUAGUAAAAGCCAUCGGAAGGAAUGUGGGUAUAGCACUUGACAUUUGUCUGCUAAAUUUGAACUAGAAUCCAAAAAGAGAGUUUCAAGACAUGGUAGAUUUUUCUAAAAGCUCUUGAGAGUUUAAGGUGAACUGUGAAAAACUGAUUAUUUAUUAGUUUUAAUCACAAGAGCAUGCUUAAAGUUAGGCUUGAUUAUAUGACAAUAUCAUAUAAGGAUCUUGGACUUUAUAUUUUAGGCAGUAAGAAGCCUUGAAUGGUUUUAAGAAGGAAUGGAACAAAGUCAUACAGAUAAUUAUUUCAGUGAGGGCAAUGUAAGAACAGGCUAGAGGAUGUUCAAAUGAAGCCUAGUUUACCAUUUUGGAAGUUGAUGCAAAAGUUCAAGUAGGAGAUAACAGAGGUUUAAGGUAAGUAGGAAUGGACAGAAGUUGCCUUUUUUAUUUAAGAAAUACUUAAGAGCAAAUAAAUAGAGACUUAACAGUUCCAUGAAGAAAAAUAGCCAUGGAUGGCUACAGGUUUCUGUAUUUGGUUACCGAGUUAACAGAGGAAUAUGACCAUGAGAAAAUAGUCUCUUUCAGAAUUAACAGGAUGUAUAACAAGUGUUUCUGGAACAUUCCUAUUGAGCUAUCUAUUAGGCAGUUGAAUAUAAGUGNUCUGAAGUUUCAAAGGAAGAUCGGGAUACCAGAUAAGAAUGUGCACUCAUUAUUUUAUCAUGUUUACCAUAGUAUAAGAAGUUUCAGGAAAAGUUUGUAGAGUCAGAAAAGAAGUAAGCCAUUGAACCUGGGUAAUAGAAUGCUUCGAGAAUAACAAAGCCACAUCAGAUGUUAAUUGACCACCUCUUUCAGGCUAGAUAGUAUAAUUUAACUGAUCUGUGGUUUAACUGCCUGGUCCCUUUAUUGUAAUAUCUAUUCAAAUGAUAAUUAGAGAUGCCUUUCUUAACCACUUCAUCUAAAAUAUCUGUCCUCUACUUUACCACCUCCAACUCUAUUUUUUUUUUUCCCUAUCUGCUUACCUUCUUUUUAUUUCAUAGUACACACAACUAGCUGGCAUUGUAUUACAUGUUCAUGGGUAUAUUUAUUUUGUAUUUUAUUCAGGAGAAUUAUAGUCCUGUGAAGACCAAGUCCCCCGACACACACCAAAUAUACUUCGUUUUUAGGACACUACCUGAAACGUAAAAAAGACUCAUUCAUUCUUAAAUGCAUAAACGAAUGAUGAUACAUACAGUCAUAACCUUAAGGGGAGGUUAUUUUAUUGACUCUAUUUCCAUGGUAAACAACAAUAUUUGUUGAAUUUAGUCCCCAUUUAGUUCCCCUUGUAUAAUACAAAUCUAUUUAAAAAAAAAUAAGCUAAGAUUGAUUUUUGAAGUCAUAACACAAAUUCUUGAAUUAUUCUCAAGAAGCCAGAACUACAAUUUUAGUCCCAGUGAAUAAAAUGCUGUCUUCUCUAACCUUUGUAUAAUUAGACUGUAUUCCUAGGCCAAGCUAGUCAUAGCAAAGAUUCCUCAAGCAUUUAUUUGGUAAUUAAUUUGUGUCCAGAUUCCACACUCAUUUUAGUUUAGCAAUGAUGUGCUUGGGAUUAAAGUAUUGAUAGAUCACCUCAACCUGAAAAGCAUUCACUCUAUCAUGGUAAAUUAAUAUAUUUCUACAUAGUGUUAAGGUGCUGCUAUGGAUCAAAGAAAGUACAGACAUUCUCAAAGGGUUGGAUCCUAAUCAGUCUCACCUUGAGGCACAUACCUUAGGGACGAUGUGUAAAUUAUGGCACAGUAUGCUUAGGGACUAUGUGUAAAUUAUUUUGUAAUUAUUAUGCACACACACACUCAAAUAGAUCUGAAGCAUGUUUAGACUCUUGGUAUAGUUCAUAAUUUUCUUUUUAUCUUCCCAGCAUUCAUUUCCUUUUUAAAACAUAAUGCUAUCUCCAUAUUCCUCCUUGGGUUGUUACACCUGUCAACCUUUUCAUGCGCCCUCACAAAUAAGGUCAUGCGCGCACUUGCCUUUGAUAAUCAUAUAGCUGUCUCGUCCCAGAACUUGAAUGUUGAACGGAAAAAUAUUUGAACUAAAGUAUCGGAAACUGAUGCAAUUCGGGUUAUCCUGAUGAGACUGCCAUUAUUUUCUCCUCACAUGACACUAGACGCUUUUUUGGAUCUUGUCCUUCUCGGUCUUUAGCCCUCCCUGGGAGUCUGGAAGCUACUGCAUCUCUUUAUAAUAAACUCAUGUUAUGUUUAAUUAACCCAGAGCUUGUUUCCUCUGCUUAUACAGUCAGAGAACAACAAGAAAGGCAAAGGCCCUAUAUAUGAUUCUUUUAGUGCCUACAACUUGAAUCAUGUGUAUAUGAUCUGGUAGGAGAAAGGAAAUAAUAAAAAGUGUAGUGUCAUGGCAUUCCCUAAAAUCUUAUGUAUGACUUUCUGGAAUUUGAACUGUUAAUGGGCUUUACAAAUAUUCAGUUAUCCAGAGGUAGCCAGCAGAUUUGCCCUUGGUGAUUUGAGGCGCCAUGAAUGAUAACUUCACAUGUAGUAAGAGUUUCUUUUUCUAAGUUCAGCCGAAGUCCUUCAUUGUACGCAAGCCUGUUAUUAGAUCUUCACAUGUGACAAACGGCUUUCUCUUAGCCUCUCUUUUCCUCUCCACUGUCCAUCAUCCUUGCCUUGGAGACCAGGCUCUUCUCCUUUGAAUGCAUUAGUCAUUCAUGAAUAAUGACAUAAAAGCUGAGCUCUGCUCUGGAAAGAGCGUCUUUUAUUAUACUUUUCUAACGACCAUUCAUAUCUAUAACACUCAGCGGUUUUCUAAUUUUCUUUUAUAAAAGGAUGAGCUGUAACUGCAUCACAAAAUGACAUGGGGUCCAAAAUUAUUACCAGCUUCAUUAGUGAGGCUAAGAGAGGAAAAAAUAGAAAAAUGUGCUAUACUAUUAUCAGACAUGAGAAACCUUUGAUUAAGAAAACUAUAAAACAGCGUUUUGGAGGUGAAGGGGAUUACUGAAUGUAUAAACAUUAAUCAUAACAGAAAAACAUACCAUAAAAAAAGGAUUUAUUUUUCUAUCUAAACCUUUUGGGGAUUCUUUAAGAAAUUAAAAACUUUAAAUUUAUCUCAGCUAAAAUUUUGAAGUUAGUGUAUUAACAAAGUUAUGCAUUUUCAAAAUAUUCUCAACAAAGUAUUGUCCAAGAAAAAAUAUGAAAUAAAAAUUACUGGUUAAGGAGUUCCUAUCCUAUCUCAGUGAUAAUGAACCCAACUAGUAACCAUGAGGACGUGUAGGUUUGAUCCACUGGGUUAAGGAUCUGGCAUUGCUGUGAGCGGUGGUGUAGGUCACAGAAAGGUCUCAGAUCUGGCAUUGCCGUGGCUGUCGCAUAGGCUGGCCCCCAGCCUGGGAACUUCCAUAGGCCAUGGGUGCAGCCCUAAAAGGACCGAGAAAAAAAUUACUGGUUAAUUAAAAAAUAUUUUCGUAUUUAUAUUUGUGAAUAAUUUCAGCAAGACUAUUAAGAAACAUAAUAUUAUUUAAAUCUAAAUGAGAGUCUAUCACAAUUAAAAAAAGUGAUCAGAAUUGAGGUGUUAUAUAUAGAGUGAUAUGUAACAUAAUUAGGAUUAUUUUAUCUACAUGUUGCUGUUUUUCUUAAAUUUUAGAAAAAUAGAAAAUUCAAAUACAACACAAACUUUUUCAUGUUUCUCUUAGAUAUUUUUUAGUGAAGUUACAUUGGGAUAAAAUCUUUUUAGAUUGGAAUAAAAUCUAGAUUUAAAAGCUAAUUUGCAUAGAAUAAGUUCACCACAGUAUAAGAUAUUUUACUUUGUUUUUGUUUUUUUCCUAAUUGAAUAUGUAUCUUCCAAAAGAACCAGGGCAAUACCAUUAAUAAACUUCUUUCAGAUUUUUCCAUUCAAGUAGACUUUAUCUCCUUUAGUUACAUUAGUGCUUGCUAGGUAAAUCCCAAACUUUGGUUUUCAUUGUGAAUUCCAGCUACUUUUUGGAUCUUUACAUAAAAGAAUUUUUAAUCCAUUUACAAGAGGAAAUGGAGACAUAGGUAGUUACAGAGUGACCUGCAUUAUAAGUACGGUAUGUCAGUGUAAUAAGCACUGAUUGAAUUCUCUUUAUGACUUUCUUAGAGUAGCCCUGAGUAUGCUUAGAGAAUGCAAAAGCAUAUGAGGAAAAGGAUUUGCCCACCUAGACUUUUACAUUUAGAGAUAGAUCUGCAUAUACCCAUUUAUUUCCAAAUGCCUCCAAUAUUUAGAAGGCAGGACAUGUAGGAAUAUUCUCAUUUAUAAAUGAGACGUCCAGGGGUUCCCGCCGUGGCACAGUGGGUUAAGAAUCUGACUACGGGAGUUCCCAUCGUGGCGCAGUGGUUAACGAAUCCGACUAGGAACCAUGAGGUGGCGGGUUCGGUCCCUGCCCUUGCUCAGUGGGUUAACGAUCCGGCGUUGCCGUGAGCUGUGGUGUAGGUUGCAGACGCGGCUCGGAUCCCGCGUUGCUGUGGCUCUGGCGUAGGCCGGUGGCUACAGCUCCGAUUGGACCCCUAGCCUGGGAACCUCCAGAUGCCGCGGGAGCGGCCCAAGAAAUAGCAACAACAACAACAAAAGACAAAAAAAAAAA